rnacentral:lncRNA from 1 species
UAGCCUUAGAUUUCAUAAUUGUUGUAGAAGGCUCAUUAGAUUAGGUGUUUUCCUCUCAGAGAAGACCUCUAAUCUCACUUUCUCUCUUUCAGUUAUGAACCAGGAACUGGGAUGACAAAACAGGAUUAAGACCCAGCUAUUUAACUGAAACCCCAAAAUCCAGGAUACCUUCACCGCAUGAGACAGAAUGACAGAUGAGUUCCAAUGUGAUACGCCCCUAGUGUGUAACUCCUGCUGUAAGACCUCAGUGAGAAUGGAGGAAGAAUUUUCCAGUGACUUCUUCACCUGGGCCAACAGUUCAUGUACAAGAUGUGUCAUUUUUCUGUA